GUCCACGCCCUAAACGAUGUUUACUUGCUGUUGGGGGUAACCUAAGUAGCGAAGCUAACGCGAGAAGUAAACCGCCUGGGGAGUACGGUCGCAAGAUUAAAACUCAAAGGAAUUGACGGGGACCCGCACAAGCGGUGGAUGAUGUGGAUUAAUUCGAUGCAACGCGAAGAACCUUACCUGCUCUUGACAUGUCAGGAAGACCUAAGAGAUUAGGUUGUGCCUUCGGGAACCUGAACACAGGUGCUGCAUGGCUGUCGU
rnacentral:rRNA from 1 species